GCUCUCCUGGUGGCGCAGUGGUUGAGAGUCCGCCUGCCGAUGCAGGGGACACGGGUUCGUGCCCCGGUCCGGGAAGAUCCCAUAUGCCGCGGAGCGGCUGGGCCCGUGAGCCAUGGCCGCUGAGCCUGCGCGUCCAGAGCCUGCCUGUGCUCCGCGACGGGAGAGGCCCACGUACCGCAAAAAAAAAAAAAAAAAAAAAAAAAAGAAAAAAAAAAGAAA